GUGCAGAACACUCGGCUCCUGUAGCGAUAACAUGAAGAUAUGCUUCCCGUCAGCAGGACGGCAAGCGCAGCUGAUGGCAGUGUAGUGGGAAAAAGCGAAGCUAGGCUACCUGCAUGGAUGACCCAAUCGCGAGAGUCACCGCUGAAAGAGCAAAGGAAACGAUCUUGUGUUGUCGCUGUGCCAUCUGUUCAACCUCUUGGUCGUAGAUUUGUUAAUUGCUCAAGUGAUAAUAGGCUAAUAGCAAUGACUUUUCUAGUGACAGGUGUUUGCCUGCGACCAGUGGCAGCCUACAGAGGACAGUACAGUAUUUGCUGAGUGAGCAAGAACUAAUUCAAGAGGCAGAGGCACUACUCAUAGAGGGUUAAAAUGCCUGUAAUGCGGUGAUGCAAAAGCAGCACGGAA